rnacentral:rRNA from 1 species
CCCGGUAGCUAAGUUCGGAAUCGAUAACCAGCGAAAGCAUCUAAGCGGGAAGCGAGCCCUGAGAUGAGUCUUCCCUGAUACUUUAAGUAUCCUAAAGGGUUGUUCGAGACUAGAACGUUGAUAGGCAGGGUGUGUAAGCGUUGUGAGGCGUUGAGCUAACCUGUACUAAUUGCCCGUGAGGCUUAACCAUACAACACCC